UGCGAUACGUAGUGUGAAUUGCAGAAUUCCGCGAAUCAUCGAGUCUUUGAACGCAAGUUGCGCCCGAGGCUUGUCCAAGGGCAUUUCCGCUAGAGCGUCACC
rnacentral:rRNA from 1 species